CUUCGUCGAUCUGCUGCGGGCUAAUGAAGUGGAUGUGCGUAUCGAUGCCGCCCGCCGUGACGAUCAACCCUUCGCCGGCGAUCACCUCGGUGCCGGCGCCGAUCGGAAUCGUCACGCCGGGCUGGAUGUCGGGGUUGCCGGCCUUGCCGAUCGCGGCGAUGCGGCCGUGCUUGAUCGCGAUGUCGGCUUUGACGAUGCCCCAGUGAUCGAGGAUCACCGCGUUCGUGAUGACCGUGUCGGGCACCUCGGCCGCGACGCGCUGCGACUGGCCCAUGCCGUCGCGAAU
rnacentral:sRNA from 1 species